rnacentral:rRNA from 1 species
GACGAACGCUGGCGGCGUGCUUAACACAUGCAAGUCGAACGGAAAGGCCCUUCGGGGUACUCGAGUGGCGAACGGGUGAGUAACACGUGGGUGAUCUGCCCUGCGCUUUGGGAUAAGCCUGGGAAACUGGGUCUAAUACCGAAUAUGACCGCGCUCUUCAUGGGGUGUGGUGGAAAGCUUUUGCGGUGUGGGAUGGGCCCGCGGCCUAUCAGCUUGUUGGUGGGGUAAUGGCCUACCAAGGCGACGACGGGUAGCCGGCCUGAGAGGGUGACCGGCCACACUGGGACUGAGAUACGGCCCAGACUCCUACGGGAGGCAGCAGUGGGGAAUAUUGCACAAUGGGCGCAAGCCUGAUGCAGCGACGCCGCGUGAGGGAUGACGGCCUUCGGGUUGUAAACCUCUUUCAAUAGGGACGAAGCGCAAGUGACGGUACCUAUAGAAGAAGGACCGGCCAACUACGUGCCAGCCGCCGCGGUAA